ACUUCGACCACAAGUCUUUUGGGGUCCUUUCCUCUAACACCGAAUAGAGUGCCGCAUCCGCCAAACAUUCUCUAGUCACAGCACAAGCCUUCUUCUUCAGGGACUUCCAUUGAUGAUCUAUCAUCCCUUUAAGCUUCUCCUCCAAUGCUUGAUCCAGAUCUGCUUGAACCAAAAGAUCUUCUACUCAAACUUUUCAUAUGAAAAAUUUCUUUUUCUAUCAAACUUCUCAAAAUCAACCUUCAUGUUGCUUCCCAUGGAUGGAUCCAAACCAAAAACACAACAAAACUCCAAGGGAUUUGAGAAAUACCUUGAUAGG
rnacentral:lncRNA from 1 species